rnacentral:piRNA from 1 species
UCCCUUUGCGAAGAGCAUCUCCGUGGC